rnacentral:rRNA from 1 species
UACGUAGGGGGCGAGCGUUGUCCGGAAUUAUUGGGCGUAAAGGGCUCGUAGGCGGUUUGGCGCGUCGGGAGUGAAAACCUUGGGCUUAACUCAGGGCGUGCUUUCGAUACGGGCAGACUAGAGGUAUGCAGGGGAGAACGGAAUUCCUGGUGUAGCGGUGAAAUGCGCAGAUAUCAGGAGGAACACCGGUGGCGAAGGCGGUUCUCUGGGCAUGAUCUGACGCUGAGGAGCGAAAGUGUGGGGAGCGAACAGG